UGUGUAGGCGGUUGUUUUAAGUUUGGUGUGAAAUCUCCCGGCUUAACCGGGAGGGUGCGCCGAAUACUGAGCGACUAGAGUGCGGGAGAGGAGAGUGGAAUUCCUGGUGUAGCGGUGAAAUGCGUAGAUAUCAGGAGGGAACACCGGCGGUGUAGACGGCUCUCUGGACCGCGACUGACGCUGAGACACGAAAGCGUGGGUAGCAAACAGGAUUAGAUACCCUGGUAGUCCACGCCCUAAACGAUGCAUAUUUGGUGUGGGCAGUUCAUUCUGUCCGUGCCGGAGCUAACGCGUUAAAUAUGCCGCCUGGGGAGUACAGUCGCAAGGCUGAA
rnacentral:rRNA from 1 species